rnacentral:tRNA from 1 species
GCAACUUUAGCUGAUGUGGUCAUAGCGCUGGUCUGAAGAACCAGUGAAGUAGGUUCGAUCCCUACAGGUUGCACCA